rnacentral:rRNA from 1 species
UGAGUGCGAGCUGCUACGGCAGCGAAGUUGGUGACGUCAUGCUUCCAAGAAAAGCCCUAUACCCGUUAAGGCAUCAUGGCCUGUACCCGAAACCGACACAGGUGGGGUGGUAGAGAAUACCGAGGGGCGCGAGGUAACUCUCUCUAAGGAACUCGGCAAAAUGGCCCCGUAACUUCGGGAGAAGGGGUGCCACCGCAAGGUGGUCGCAGUGAAGAGGCCCAGGCGACUGUUUACCAAAAACACAGGUCUCCGCUAAGUCGCAAGACGAUGUAUGGGGGCUGACGCCUGCCCAGUGCCGGAAGGUUAAGGAAGCUGGUCAGCGCAAGUGAAGCUAGCGACUGAAGCCCCGGUGAACGGCGGCCGUAACCAUAACGGUCCUAAGGUAGCGAAAUUCCUUGUCGGGUAAGUUCCGACCCGCACGAAAGGCGUAACGAUCUGGGCGCUGUCUCGGAGAGAGGCUCGGCGAAAUAGAAUUGUCUGUGAAGAUGCGGACUACGUGCACCCGGACAGAAAGACCCUAUGAAGCUUUACUGUAGCUUGGUAUUGUGCCCGGGCUCGCAAUGCGCAGGAUAGGUGGGAGGCUUUGAUCAUCGGCUUGCGGGUCGAUGUGAGCCAACGGUGAGAUACCACUCUUUGCGAGCUAGGGUUCUAACGGCCACCCGUCAUCCGGGGGCCGGACAGUACCUGGUGGGCAGUUUGACUGGGGCGGUCGCCUCCUAAAAGGUAACGGAGGCGCGCAAAGGUUUGCUCAGGCUGGUUGGAAAUCAGCCGACGAGUGUAAAAGCAGAAGCAAGCUUGACUGUGAGACCAACAAGUCGAACAGGGAGGAAACUCGGCUUUAGUGAUCCGACGGUUCUGAGUGGAAGGGCCGUCGCUCAACGGAUAAAAGUUACUCUAAGGAUAACAGGCUGAUCUCCCCCAAGAGUUCACAUCGACGGGGAGGUUUGGCACCUCGAUGUCGGCUCAUCGCAACCUGGGGCUGAAGUCGGUCCCAAGGGUUGGGCUGUUCGCCCAUUAAAGCGGUACGCGAGCUGGGUUCAGAACGUCGUGUGACAGUUCGGUCCAUAUCCGGUGCACGCGCAGGAAUAUUGAGAGGAUUUCUCCCUAGUACGAGAGGACCGGGAGGAACGCACCUCUGGUGUACCAGUUAUCGUGCCAACGGUAAACGCUGGGUAGCCAUGUGCGGAGUGGAUAACCGCUGAAAGCAUCUAAGUGGGAAGCCCACCUCAAGAUGAGUAUUCCCAUGGCGUAAGCCAGUAAGGUCACGGGAAGAACACCCGUUGAUAGGCUCUAUGUGGAAGCGCAGUAAUGCGUGAAGCAGAGGAGUACUAAUAGACCGAGGGCUUGACU